AUGCCUAGCUUGCUAGGAGGCGUCGAGCGGCGGACGGGUGAGUAAUGCAUAGGAAUCUGCCCGGUAGUGGGGGAUAACCUGGGGAAACCCAGGCUAAUACCGCAUACGCCCUACGGGGGAAAGCAGGGGAUCUUCGGACCUUGCGCUAUCGGAUGAGCCUAUGUCGGAUUAGCUAGUUGGUGAGGUAACGGCUCACCAAGGCUGCGAUCCGUAGCUGGUCUGAGAGGAUGAUCAGCCACAUCGGGACUGAGACACGGCCCGAACUCCUACGGGAGGCAGCAGUGGGGAAUAUUGGACAAUGGGCGAAAGCCUGAUCCAGCCAUGCCGCGUGUGUGAAGAAGGCCUUCGGGUUGUAAAGCACUUUCAGUGAGGAAGAAAGCCUUGAGGUUAAUACCCUCGAGGGAGGACAUCACUCACAGAAGAAGCACCGGCUAACUCCGUGCCAGCAGCCGCGGUAAUACGGAGGGUGCGAGCGUUAAUCGGAAUUACUGGGCGUAAAGCGCGCGUAGGCGGCUUGAUAAGCCGGUUGUGAAAGCCCCGGGCUCAACCUGGGAACGGCAUCCGGAACUGUCAGGCUAGAGUGCAGGAGAGGAAGGUAGAAUUCCCGGUGUAGCGGUGAAAUGCGUAGAGAUCGGGAGGAAUACCAGUGGCGAAGGCGGCCUUCUGGACUGACACUGACGCUGAGGUGCGAAAGCGUGGGUAGCAAACAGGAUUAGAUACCCUGGUAGUCCACGCCGUAAACGAUGUCGACUAGCCGUUGGGCUCCUUGAGAGCUUUGUGGCGCAGUAACGCGAUAAGUCGACCGCCUGGGGAGUACGGCCGCAAGGUUAAAACUCAUAUGAAUUGACGGGGGCCCGCACAAGCGGUGGAGCAUGUGGUUUAAUUC
rnacentral:rRNA from 1 species